GAAAUAAUGUCUAUAAUGUUGCCUCAAUGACAAUUUCGGGAACAAAGAUUGUCAAAGAAAAGUUAACGGAAGCAAUGAAGUUACUUGAAAAGGAUGAGGAAACUAUCAAUGUGUUUCAGAAGUUUAGAAAAGAUGAUGAUCAUUUUACUUGUGAUGCUCUUAUGGAUGAGCCAAGAAUAUUAAAUCCACCAACUGUGAAAGCCAAAGGAACAACAAAUGCAAGAUUAAAAAGCACUUUGGAGAAAAGAAAAAGGAAGGCAAAGAAAGGUAAUAAAUAUAAUAAUUUUAUUUUUUUAUUACAAUUAUUACCCUUAUUCAAUUCUUAAAUAAUAUAUGAUUUUUUUGUCACUUAUGAUGAUUACAUUUGGCUUAUAGUUGGAGAAGACAAUCAUCAAAAAAUGGGUGACACACCUUACCCAACAUUCUCGCCUACGAUGACUACCUUUACCCCGUUUAUUCAUCAUCUAGCUCCCGAGCAUUCAAAUUUUCACCUUUCAAGCAUGCUUCAAAGCUACAACAAUAUGCAUUACUUGACUAAGGUAUUAUUAUUAUUAUUAUUAUUAUUAUUAUUAUUAUUAUUAUUAUUAUUAUUAUUAUUAUUAUUAUCAGUCAAUGACUUAUUUUUAUGCAGGAUCCAAGCUAUUAUAAUUUUGAUGAUCUACAGAGAAAAGAUUAAUGACUAUGUAGUGGAAGUUUUGAUAUGAGACUGGUACGAGCUUUAUUAAAUAAAAUGCAUUUGAUGAAGUUAUAAGCUUUGUACCAAUGAACUUGAUUUGUAAAUUUGUUUUAUCUGUUUGUUUACACUUUUCAGGUGAUUGAAGUUAUUGUAGAAGAUAAAAAAAGGGGUAUAU
rnacentral:lncRNA from 1 species